UACGUAGGGUGCAAGCGUUGUCCGGAAUUAUUGGGCGUAAAGAGCUCGUAGGUGGUCUGUUGCGUCGGCUGUGAAAUCCCGAGGCUCAACCUCGGGCCUGCAGCCGAUACGGGCAGACUAGAGUUCGGCAGGGGAGACUGGAAUUCCUGGUGUAGCGGUGAAAUGCGCAGAUAGUCAGGAGGAACACCCGGUUGGCGAAGGCGGGUCUCUGGGACGGUACUGAC
rnacentral:rRNA from 1 species